rnacentral:rRNA from 1 species
CCUACGGGUGGCUGCAGUGAGGAAUAUUGGUCAAUGGACGGAAGUCUGAACCAGCCAUGCCGCGUGCAGGAAGACGGCUCUAUGAGUUGUAAACUGCUUUUGUACAAGGGUAAACCUGAAUACGUGUAUUCAGCUGAAAGUACUGUACGAAUAAGGAUCGGCUAACUCCGUGCCAGCAGCCGCGGUAAUACGGAGGAUCGAAGCGUUAUCCGGAUUUAUUUGGUUUAAAGGGUGCGUAGGCGGAUUGAUAAUUUAGAGGGGAAAUGUGUGGGCUUAACGCGUGAACUGCCUCUAAUACUGUUGAUCGAGAGAGUAGAUGCGGUAGGCGGAAUGUAUGGUGUAGCGGUGAAAUGCUUAGAGAUCAUACAGAACACCGAUUGCGAAGGCAGCUUACCAAUCUAUAUCUGACGUUGAGGCACGAAAGCGUGGGGAGCAAACAGGAUUAGAUACCCUUGUAGUC